rnacentral:rRNA from 1 species
GACGAACGCUGGCGGCGUGCUUAACACAUGCAAGUCGAACGGAGUUGCGAACGGGUGAGUCACACGCGGGUGACCUGCCCUGCACUUCGGGAUAAGCAUGGGAAACUGGGUCUAGUUCCGGAUAGUGUGGGAUGGGCCCGCGGCAUAUCAGCUGGUUGGGGGGGUAAUGGCCUACCAAGGUGGCGACGGGUAGCCGGCCUGAGAGGGUGGACGGCAACAUUGGGACUGAGACACAGCCCAGACUCCUACGGGAGGAAUCAGUGGUGAAUAUUGCACAAUGGGCGGAAGCCUGAUGCAGCGACGCCGCGUGGGGGAGGACGGUCUUCGGGUUGUAAACUCCUUUCACCAUCGACGCGGUAGAUGGAGAAGAAGCACCGGCUAACUACGUGCCAGCCGCCGCGGUAAUAC